GAUGAACGCUGGCGGCGUGCUUAACACAUGCAAGUCGAACGGAAAGGCCCUGCUUUUGUUGGGUUCUCGAGUGGCGAACGGGUGAGUAACACGUGAGUAAACUGUCCUUGUAUUUGGGAUAACUUCAGGAAACUGGGGCUAUUACCGGAUAUGAGCUCCUGCUGCAUGGUGGGGGUUGGAAAGUUUCGGCGGUUGGGGAUGGACUCGCAGGUUAUCGGCUUGUUUGUGGGGUUGUGGCAUACCAAGGCUUCGAAGGGUAGCCCGCCUGGGAGUGUGACCGGCCACAUUGGGACUGAGGUACGCACCAGUCGCCUACGUGACGCAGCGGGGGGAAACAUGGCACAGUGGGGCGAAGUGAGAGGCGACAGCCUCGCGUUCGUGAUAACCGCCUUCGAGUUGUAAACCACUUUCGCCUGUGACAUAGCGUGAGUGACGGUAAUGAGUAAAAAAGCCCCGGCUAACUACGUG
rnacentral:rRNA from 1 species